rnacentral:rRNA from 1 species
GUAGGUGGCAAGCGUUGUCCGGAAUUAUUGGGCGUAAAGCGCGCGCAGGCGGUUCUUUAAGUCUGACGUGAAAGCCCACGGCUCAACCGUGGAGGGUCAUUGGAAACUGGAGAACUUGAGUACAGAAGAGGAAAGCGGAAUUCCACGUGUAGCGGUGAAAUGCGUAGAGAUGUGGAGGAACACCAGUGGCGAAGGCGGCUUUCUGGUCUGUAACUGACGCUGAGGCGCGAAAGCGUGGGGAGCAAACAGGGAUUAGAUACCCUGGUAGUCCACGCCGUAAACGAUGAGUGCUAAGUGUUAGGGGGUUUCCCGCCCCUUAGUGCUGCAGCUAACGCAUUAAGCACUCCGCCUGGGGAGUACGGCCGCAAGGCUG